UUGCUUCAGCAGCAUGCAUACUAAAAUUGAAACAAUACAGAGAAAACUGGCAUGGCCCCUGCACAAAGAUGACAUGCAAAUUCAUGAAGCGUUCCAUAUAUUU
rnacentral:snRNA from 1 species